rnacentral:rRNA from 1 species
AGAUUGAACGCUGGCGGCAUGCCUAACACAUGCAAGUCGAGCGGCAGCGCGGGGGCGACCCUGGCGGCGAGCGGCGGACGGGUGAGUAAAGGCAUCGGAAUCUGCCCUGAUGUGGGGGAUAACGUAGGGAAACUUACGCUAAUACCGCAUACGACCGAGAGGUGAAAGCGGGGGGACCGAAAGGCCUCGCGCAGCAGGAUGAGCCGAUGUCCGAUUAGCUGGUUGUGGGGUAACGGCCCACCAAAGGCGACGANCGGUAGCUGGUCUGAGAGGAUGACUCAGCCACACUGGGACUGAGACACGGCCCCAGACUCCUACGGGAGGCGAG